UACGAAGGGGGCUAGCGUUGCUCGGAAUCACUGGGCGUAAAGGGUGCGUAGGCGGUUCUUUAAGUCAGGGGUGAAAUCCUGGAGCUCAACUCCAGAACUGCCUUUGAUACUGAAGAUCUUGAGUUCGGGAGAGGUGAGUGGAACUGCGAGUGUAGAGGUGAAAUUCGUAGAUAUCGGGAGGAACACCGGUGGCGAAGGCGGCGACCUGGGUCGAGACUGACGCUGAGGCGCGAAAGCGUGGGGAGCAAACAGG
rnacentral:rRNA from 1 species